AUCAAGUGCACACUGUCUUCCUUUUCUCAAUCUUAUGGAGGAUGGGUUGAGGAGGCAGGCAGAUACAGAAACAACUGGACAUCUGCUUGUAAGGAAAACUGGUUUGACCGCUUUUAUAAAACAUGACUGGAGGCAGAAAUGAAAUUCAGUCUCAAUCUCUUUCCUCAUUCAAGCUGGGACGACAUAUAUCUUUAGCAAAGGUGGUGGACAAAUCACGUAUAAGUGGCCUCCUAAUGACCGACCCAGUACACGAGCAGACAGACUGGCCAUAGGGUUUAGCACUGUUCAGAAAGAAGCUGUAUUGGUGCGAGUGGACAGUUCUUCAGGCUUGGGUGACUACCUAGAACUGCAUAUACACCAGGGAAAAAUUGGAGUUAAGUUUAAUGUUGGGACAGAUGACAUCGCCAUUGAAGAGUCCAAUGCAAUCAUUAAUGAUGGGAAAUACCAUGUAGUUCGUUUCACGAGGAGUGGUGGCAAUGCCACGUUGCAGGUGGACAGCUGGCCAGUGAUCGAGCGCUACCCUGCAGGAAACAAUGAUAACGAGCGCCUGGCGAUUGCUAGACAGCGAAUUCCAUAUCGACUUGGUCGAGUAGUUGAUGAAUGGCUACUCGACAAAGGGCGUCAGCUCACAAUCUUCAAUAGCCAAGCAACCAUAAUAAUUGGCGGGAAAGAGCAGGGCCAGCCCUUCCAGGGCCAGCUCUCUGGGCUUUACUACAAUGGCUUGAAAGUUCUGAAUAUGGCAGCCGAAAACGAUGCCAACAUCGCCAUAGUGGGAAAUGUGAGACUGGUUGGUGAAGUGCCUUCCUCUAUGACAACUGAGUCGACAGCCACUGCCAUGCAAUCAGAGAUGUCCACAUCAAUUAUGGAGACUACCACGACCCUGGCUACUAGCACAGCCAGAAGAGGAAAGCCCCCGACAAAAGAACCCAUUAGCCAGACCACAGAUGACAUCCUUGUGGCCUCAGCAGAGUGUCCCAGCGAUGAUGAGGACAUUGACCCCUGUGAGCCGAGCUCAGGUGGGUUAGCCAACCCAACCCGAGCAGGCGGCAGAGAGCCGUAUCCAGGAUCAGCAGAAGUGAUCCGGGAGUCCAGCAGCACCACGGGUAUGGUCGUUGGGAUAGUAGCCGCUGCCGCCCUGUGCAUCCUUAUCCUCCUCUAUGCCAUGUACAAGUACAGAAACCGGGAUGAAGGCUCAUACCAUGUGGACGAGAGUCGAAACUACAUCAGUAACUCAGCACAGUCCAAUGGGGCUGUUGUAAAGGAGAAACAACCCAGCAGUGCG
rnacentral:sRNA from 1 species